GACAGCAGGUCCGAGGGGUGUCGGGGAGAGCAGGAGCCCGGCUCACCGGUGGGGAGGCCCUUGUAGUAAUAGAUGACGGGAUGGAGGAAGUUUGACUGCCACGCGUCUCCCGUGUGCCCCACGGACCGGUCGUAGAAGAAGACGUCCUUGUCGGGCCCGGAGAAGUCCCUGCCGUACUCCAUGUUGAUGACGAAGAGCCCACGCCCGGCCCUCCUCCCUGUGAUGCUCUCCAGCUGGGCCAGCAUCUGCACGGGGAACUCCUCCAGGUUCUAAGGGGACCGCCUGGCUGCCGUGUUGAGAGACCGUGGAGCAAAGGUGCGAGGCUGCAGCAGGUUCAGGGCACCCUCCCCCCUGCCUGCUCUGCUGUGUGUCACCUGUGCCCUGCCACCUGUCACUCAGCUGAUAAGGAGACAUCAUGGUCCUGGCCCGAGGGAGGCCUUCCACCCUCAGCGCUGCGGUUUACCGCUCAUCCGCUUGGUGCCAAAUGCGACCAGUUACCUUCACGCCUGCCUGCAACCUAAGGGUUGUUAUCCCCAGUCUGCAGAGGAGAGAAAGGCUCAGAGAAGCUACGUGACUUGCCCAAGGUCACACAGGUGGAAAGCGGCAGGGCUGGGAGGCGCACCAGGUCUGUCUGUCGAGCUUGUGGUGUUGAUUUCACUGAUUCUGCCUCCCCGCUCCCAGAAUGGAUCCCCGUGUCCCCUGAAGGUUCGCUUAGGAGGGAACUGCAGGCCACUCCACGCUGGGAACAGGCAGAGAGGAGCUCCGACCAGUGAACGGUGAAGCUGGGCUACUCACUCCUUGAGCAGGGCAACAUCGGCCAGCACGCCGAACAUCUGGUAGAGCCCGGAAGCCUCGUUGACGCGCCGGACGAUGGAGCUUGUCAGCUGUGAGACGGGGUGCUCGGUGGAGGGCCAGGCGACGCUGUGGUGGCGGUGCUCCAGCAGGCGGUGGACGGCACGCACUGAAAUGGCCAGAGGGACGUACGGUCCCUGUCGGCUGCUUGGAACUCCACACACGCUCGUGUGCGUGGCUCCAAGGUGCCUCUGGCGGGGCUCGGUCGGUUAAGGGUCUGACUCUUGAUUUUGGCUCAGGUCACCAUCUCAUGGAGUGAGUUCGAGCCCC